rnacentral:lncRNA from 1 species
UGAAUGGGAGAUAUCAUCUGCCCAACGAAGAGAGAGAAGCUCCUGCUUCAGAUGCGGGAGUCUACCCAGGGCCCUGGCUCCUCAUUCCUGGGAGCUAGGAUCCCAGCUGGGAGGGAAACCGAGUCCCAGGUGGAGUCAUCAAGUGAAUCAAGAGUACUUCCUCUGGGCCGCUGCUGUGGGACAUGAAGGAGGGAGGAGGGGAGCUGGGAUUCGAGGACCUUGGAGAUGCCUGACCCCAUCUCUCUGGAAGAUUGCACUCUUCUGUGGGCUCACAGUCCACUCAGUCUGUGACUAUUGGUUGCCCUCCUCCAUCAUGCCCAAGAAAGCUUUCAUCUUGCAAGAUCACUUCAGCCUUGGCACCUUGGGCCCCAUCUUAUGAUUGGAGGGUGGAGACCUCUCCUCCCAGAAGCUCCAUUGAAGGAGGGCGCCCAGGAACCCAACAUCCAGUGAAAUGAAGUGACAAGGUACAGUCACACGGGAGAAACUUGGCCAACCCGAGGUCUGGGGGUGAGGGAGGCUGGGGAAAUGGUGCUCAGCUCAGUGGGGAGGAGGCUCCGAGCCAGGGCUCCAAACACUCCGAGGCAGUGUAACAGGACAAAAGCAGGCCUAGUCCAAUGGGUGGAAAGGGAGAGCCAAGUGGAUUGAGCCAUUUGUCCUGAGAUGGGGAUGCCCUUGGUGCUUUUUAGACCCCCCGCCCCCAAAGGUGAAGGCAGUGCCCCCGAGGCUGGGACACUUGAUUGGCUGGCUCCCAACCUUUUUUUUUUUUUUGUUUUUGUUUUUGGCAAUUGGGAUUAAG